rnacentral:rRNA from 1 species
AACGAACGCUGGCGGCAUGCCUAACACAUGCAAGUCGAACGGCACCUUCGUGUGUAGUUGCGCACGGGUGCGUCACGCGUGGGAACCUUCCCUUAUGUUCGGAAUACCUCUUUGACAUGGGUGCUAAUACCGGAUAAUUUCUUCUGAUACAAGAUGUGUCGACUUUGGAUGGGCCCGCGUUGGUUUAGAUGGUGGGUAUGGGAAGAGCCUACCACGGCUAGGCUCCUUAGCUGGUUUGAGAGGAAGGGCAGCCACACUGGGAGUGGGACCCGGCGCAGACUACUAGGGGAGGGAGGAGUGGGUAAUAUAGGAAAAUGGGGGAAAUGAUGAACCAGCUAGGCCGCGUGAGUGAUGAAGGCGGGAGGGUUGUAAAGCUCUUUAAUCCGGGAUGAUAAUGACGGUACCGGGAGAAUAAGCACCGGCUAACUCCGUG